rnacentral:rRNA from 1 species
GACGAACGCUGGCGGCGUGCUUAACACAUGCAAGUCGAACGGAAAGGCCCGGCUUUUGGGCGGUGCUCUAGUGGCGAACGGGUGAGUAACACGUGAGUAACCUGUCCUUGACUUUGGGAUAACUUCAGGAAACUGGGUCUAAUACCGCAUAGGAUCUCCUGCUGCAUGGUGGGGGUGGGUAAGUUUCGGCGGUUGGGGAUGGACUCGCGGCUUAUGAGCUUGUUGGUGGGGUAGUGGCUUACCAAGGCUUUGACGGGUAGCCGGCCUGAGAGGGUGACCGGACACAUUGGGCCUGAGCUACGGCCCAGCCCCCUCCCGGACGGAGGGGUGGAGAAUAUUGUAUAAUGGGAGGAAGGCUGAUGCAGUUCAGCCGCGUGCGGGAUGAGAGGCAUCGCGUUGUGAACCGAUUUCGCCUGUGCCGAGGCGUGAGUGACGGUACUGGGUAAAGAAGCACCGGCUAACUACGUG